rnacentral:rRNA from 1 species
AUUGAACGCUGGCGGCAUGCUUUACACAUGCAAGUCGAACGGUAACAGGCCGCCAGGUGCUGACGAGUGGCGAACGGGUGAGUAAUGCAUCGGAACGUGCCCAGUCGUGGGGGAUAACUACUCGAAAGAGUAGCUAAUACCGCAUACGAUCUAUGGAUGAAAGCGGGGGACCGUAAGGCCUCGCGCGAUUGGAGCGGCCGAUGUCAGAUUAGGUAGUUGGUGGGGUAAAGGCUCACCAAGCCAACGAUCUGUAGCUGGUCUGAGAGGACGACCAGCCACACUGGGACUGAGACACGGCCCAGACUCCUACGGGAGGCAGUAGUGGGGAAUUUUGGACAAUGGGCGCAAGCCUGAUCCAGCAAUGCCGCGUGCAGGAAGAAGGCCUUCGGGUUGUAAACUGCUUUUGUACGGAACGAAACGGCUCUGGUUAAUACCCGGGGCUAAUGACGGUACCGUAAGAAUAAGCACCGGCUAACUACGUG